rnacentral:miRNA from 1 species
GGUCCUGGUCCAGGUCCCGGUCCCGGUCCCGGUCCUGGCUCUGGUCCUGGCUCUUGUCCUGGUCCUGGUCCCGGUC